GGCGAAGAUCUAGAGGCUUUCUGUGA
rnacentral:piRNA from 1 species